rnacentral:rRNA from 1 species
AGAGUUUGAUCCUGGCUCAGGACGAACGCUGGCGGCGUGCCUAAUACAUGCAAGUCGAACGCUUCUUUUUCCACCGGAGCUUGCUCCACCGGAAAAAGAAGAGUGGCGAACGGGUGAGUAACACGUGGGUAACCUGCCCAUCAGAAGGGGAUAACACUUGGAAACAGGUGCUAAUACCGUAUAACAAUCAAAACCGCAUGGUUUUGAUUUGAAAGGCGCUUUCGGGUGUCGCUGAUGGAUGGACCCGCGGUGCAUUAGCUAGUUGGUGAGGUAACGGCUCACCAAGGCCACGAUGCAUAGCCGACCUGAGAGGGUGAUCGGCCACAUUGGGACUGAGACACGGCCCAAACUCCUACGGGAGGCAGCAGUAGGGAAUCUUCGGCAAUGGACGAAAGUCUGACCGAGCAACGCCGCGUGAGUGAAGAAGGUUUUCGGAUCGUAAAACUCUGUUGUUAGAGAAGAACAAGGAUGAGAGUAACUGUUCAUCCCUUGACGGUAUCUAACCAGAAAGCCACGGCUAACUACGUGCCAGCAGCCGCGGUAAUACGUAGGUGGCAAGCGUUGUCCGGAUUUAUUGGGCGUAAAGCGAGCGCAGGUGGUUUCUUAAGUCUGAUGUGAAAGCCCCCGGCUCAACCGGGGAGGGUCAUUGGAAACUGGGAGACUUGAGUGCAGAAGAGGAGAGUGGAAUUCCAUGUGUAGCGGUGAAAUGCGUAGAUAUAUGGAGGAACACCAGUGGCGAAGGCGGCUCUCUGGUCUGUAACUGACGCUGAGGCUCGAAAGCGUGGGGAGCAAACAGGAUUAGAUACCCUGGUAGUCCACGCCGUAAACGAUGAGUGCUAAGUGGUGGAGGGUUUCCGCCCUUCAGUGCUGCAGCUAACGCAUUAAGCACUCCGCCUGGGGAGUACGACCGCAAGGUUGAAACUCAAAGGAAUUGACGGGGGCCCGCACAA